UGAGACCUGGACCAGACUGCGAUCCCGACUUGGGACUAACCGGACCCUGAGCCUUGUUUAGACCCAGAAUCCCGACUGAGACCCAGAGCUGAUGGGUUCCUUCCUGGCUCCUACCUCUACGCAUGGUUCGAGCCAAUACUCCGUGCAAAGUCCUGGCUGGGAGAUGAGCUCAGUCAGGAACCAGGACUUAUUUCUAACGACCCGGAUGCAGAGUCUACAGCCUGAUCCAGCCGCCCGCUAUCGAAACGUGUUGGAGGCUCUCUGGAGAAUUAUAAGAACAGAGGGCCUGUGGAGGCCCAUGAGGGGGCUGAACGUCACUGCGACUGGCGCGGGGCCUGCCCACGCCCUCUAUUUUGCCUGCUACGAAAAGUUAAAAAAGACAUUGAGUGAUGUAAUCCACCCCGGGGGCAAUAGCCAUAUUGCCAAUG
rnacentral:lncRNA from 1 species